rnacentral:lncRNA from 1 species
AGAAUAGAAAGGGACUCUGGGAGUCGAACUAAACAGUAUUUGAUUCACUUUUCCUCAAAUUCUUUAUAACCAUUUUCUCUUCUCUUUUCUUUUUAUUUUUUAUUUCUUUUCAUUUAUUUUCAUAAGGAAUACGAUAGGAACAUGACUUUUCUUCCGUUUUUUUCUUCAUUUUUUUUCUUUCUUUUUUUUGCAAAGUUUUAAAAUAUAUCACAAAUAUAAUAAUUCAACACACAAACUCCAAACAAGAAUCAUUCAUCCCCUCAAAUAGGGUAUAACAUUUUUUUCACUUUUAGGCUUGUAUUGAGUUAUAAACAAAAAAUGAAAUAAAUAGGCUCAAAGGAGCUUCAAACCAAGGAUGAUAAUUCCAAGGUUGACUUAUUUGACUAAGUGGCUAAAAAU